AUGGGUGGUGGCCCUAAGCGAGGAAUAGAUGUAAUGGACGAGGCUAUAAUCGAGUAUGACAUGAGGAUUAAGCGAGGCAGACAAGAAAGACAUGACCUACAACUGAUCGAUGGUGCAACAAUCUUAGGCCCCCACGGGACAUGGGAUAGGCCGUUCACAUAUGACAUCUCUAACGACUGUGGUGGUACAGUUAACAUAACUUUAGCACGUCUUUCUUGGGCGGUCGAGGCGACUAUAGAGGUUCUCAUCUCGGAAGUGCAGGGCGGUUUCAAUAUGUCAGUUAGAUGUUUUACCAGUGGGUUUGAUUCUGAGAUAAGGCUCUUCAAUGGCGCCAUUACCAACUCAUGUGGAUUGAAGCGGUCAGUGGUUGCCGUAAUGAAGCGGUCUUACAUACGUUUGAAAUUCAAGGUAGUUGCACCGUCUUGUCGUUCUAAGUCCCAAUAUCGUUGUACCUUUAAGGCGAAGACUCAUGGGCAUAAUGCUCAAGAGAUAAAGACUGAUUUUGCACUGAUCUCGGUGAAGGUGACUUGGUCGACAUUGCCUGGCAGCUUUCCUGCCUAA
rnacentral:rRNA from 1 species